UUCAUGUCAUUAGCUGUGGUUAUGACGAUAAAACUGAAUGGGGGAAAGAGGUUGGGUGGAUAUAUGGCUCUGUUACUGAGGACAUAUUGACCGGCUUCAAGAUGCAUUGCCAUGGCUGGCGUUCNNNNNNNNNNNNNCCAGCAUUUAAGGGGUCAGCUCCAAUAAACCUUUCAGAUCGUCUACAUCAGGUUCUACGGUGGGCACUAGGAUCUGUUGAGAUUCUGUUGAGUAGGCAUUGUCCGAUAUGGUAUGGGUAUGGGUGCGGCUUGCGUUGGGGCGGGUUUCAUACAUAAAUUCAGUUGUUUAUCCGUUGACAUCAAUUCCCUUGGUCGCCUACUGUACAUUGCCAGCUAUUUGCCUCCUUACAGGGAAAUUCAUCAUCCCCGAGAUCAGUAACUAUGCAAGUCUCAUUUUCAUGGGCCUCUUCGUAUCCAUAGCAGUAACUAGCGUCCUUGAAAUGCAAUGGGGAGGAGUUGGCAUACACGACUGGUGGAGAAAUGAGCAGUUUUGGGU
rnacentral:misc_RNA from 1 species